rnacentral:rRNA from 1 species
AUUGAACGCUGGCGGCAUGCCUUACACAUGCAAGUCGAACGGCAGCACGGGUGCUUGCCCCUGGUGGCGAGUGGCGAACGGGUGAGUAAUACAUCGGCACAUGUCCUGUAGUGGGGGGUAGCCCGGCGAAAGCCGGAUUAAUACCGCAUACGAUCUACGGCUGAAAGCGGGGGACCUUCGGGCCUCGCGCUAUAGGGUUGGCCGAUGGCUGAUUAGCUAGUUGGUGGGGUAAAGGCCUACCAAGGCGACGAUCAGUAGCUGGUCUGAGAGGACGACCAGCCACACUGGGACUGAGACACGGCCCAGACUCCUACGGGAGGCAGCAGUGGGGAAUUUUGGACAAAGGGCGAAAGCCUGAUCCAGCAAUGCCGCGUGUGUGAAGAAGGCCUUCGGGUUGUAAAGCACUUUUGUCCGGAAAGAAAUCCUUGGCCCUAAUACGGUCGGGGGAUGACGGUACCGGAAGAAUAAGCACCGGCUAACUACGUG